rnacentral:lncRNA from 1 species
AUAGGAUACCUGAAACGUCUACAUCCACUCUCACCAUUCACAAUGUAGAGAAACAGGACAUAGCUACCUACUACUGUGCCUUGUGGGGAGUUGGGCAAAAAAAUCAAGGUAUUUGGUCCCGGAACAAAGCUUAUCAUUACAGAUAAACAACUUGAUGCAGAUGUUUCCCCCAAGCCCACUAUUUUUCUUCCUUCAAUUGCUGAAACAAAGC